UGAGUAAUGCUUGGGAACUUGCCUUUGCGAGGGGGAUAACAGUUGGAAACGACUGCUAAUACCGCAUAAUGUCUUCGGACCAAACGGGGCUUCGGCUCCGGCGCAAAGAGAGGCCCAAGUGAGAUUAGCUAGUUGGUAAGGUAACGGCUUACCAAGGCGACGAUCUCUAGCUGUUCUGAGAGGAAGAUCAGCCACACUGGGACUGAGACACGGCCCAGACUCCUACGGGAGGCAGCAGUGGGGAAUAUUGCACAAUGGGGGAAACCCUGAUGCAGCCAUGCCGCGUGUGUGAAGAAGGCCUUCGGGUUGUAAAGCACUUUCAGUUGUGAGGAAAAGUUAGUAGUUAAUACCUGCUAGCCGUGACGUUAACAACAGAAGAAGCACCGGCUAACUCCGUGCCAGCAGCCGCGGUAAUACGGAGGGUGCGAGCGUUAAUCGGAAUUACUGGGCGUAAAGCGCACGCAGGCGGUUUGUUAAGCUAGAUGUGAAAGCCCCGGGCUCAACCUGGGAUGGUCAUUUAGAACUGGCAGACUAGAGUCUUGGAGAGGGGAGUGGAAUUCCAGGUGUAGCGGUGAAAUGCGUAGAUAUCUGGAGGAACAUCUGUGGCGAAAGGCGACUCUCCUGGGCAAAGACUGACGCUCAUGUGCGAAAGUGUGGGUAGCGAACAGGAUUAGAUACCCU
rnacentral:rRNA from 1 species